GACGAACGCUGGCGGCGCGCCUAACACAUGCAAGUCGAACGGAGCUGAGAGGAGCUUGCUUUUCUUAGCUUAGUGGCGAACGGGUGAGUAACGCGUGAGUAACCUGCCCUGGAGUGGGGGACAACAGUUGGAAACGACUGCUAAUACCGCAUAAGCCCACGAUCCGGCAUCGGAUUGAGGGAAAAGGAUUUAUUCGCUUCAGGAUGGACUCGCGUCCAAUUAGCUAGUUGGUGAGGUAACGGCCCACCAAGGCGACGAUUGGUAGCCGGACUGAGAGGUUGAACGGCCACAUUGGGACUGAGACACGGCCCAGACUCCUACGGGAGGCAGCAGUGGGGGAUAUUGCACAAUGGGGGAAACCCUGAUGCAGCGACGCCGCGUGGAGGAAGAAGGUUUUCGGAUUGUAAACUCCUGUCGUUAGGGACGAUAAUGACG
rnacentral:rRNA from 1 species